rnacentral:rRNA from 1 species
AUUGAACGCUGGCGGCAGGCUUUACACAUGCAAGUCGGACGAGUGGCGAACGGGUGAGUAAUAUAUUGGAAUGUACCUAGUAAUGGGGGAUAACCAAGGGAAACAUUGGCUACUACCGCAUAUUAUUGGAUCGGCCAAUGUCGGAUUAGCUAGUUGGUGGGGUAAAGGCCUACCAAGGCGACGAUCAGUAGCUGGUCUGAGAGGAUGAUCAGCCACACUGGGAAUGAGACACGGCCCAGACUCCUACGGGAGGCAGCAGUGGGGAAUAUUGGACAAUGGGCGCAAGCCUGAUGCAGCCAUGCCGCGUGUGUGAAGAAGGCCUUCGGGUUGUAAAGUACUUUUGGUAGGGAAGCGGUACCUACAGAAUAAGCACCGGCUAACUACGUGCCAGCAGCCGCGGUAAUUC